rnacentral:miRNA from 11 species
UAACAGUCCACAGUCAUGGCUA